rnacentral:misc_RNA from 1 species
GAAGUCGUUACUCCAACCCUUGUGGAGGAGGACGCCGAAGGUGGGGCUAAUGACUGGGGUGAAGUCGUAACAAGGUAGCCGUACCGGAAGGUGCGGCUGGAUCACCUCCUAACAGGGAGACAACAAAAUGUAAAUAUUAAUUUUGUCACCUUAGGUCGAUCGGUAUCUCAGAUUCUUAUUUUUAAGAAUUUCAGUUUCUAAGUUUUUUCUAGGUCACACCCAUCACUUUUUCCUGGGCCAUUAGCUCAGGUGGUUAGAGCGCACCCCUGAUAAGGGUGAGGUCCCUGGUUCAAGUCCAGGAUGGCCCAUAUCUCUAUGUUGGGGGUAUAGCUCAGUUGGUAGAGCGCCUGCUUUGCAAGCAGGAUGUCAGCGGUUCGAGUCCGCUUACCUCCACUGAAUACCACCUCUUACAUAUAGUUGAAGUGGGAAAUUGUUUUGAGUCGUGUCCUAAUUUGCUCUGAGCGAAUCUAGCUUCCUAUUUUAUCCAAGAAAUAAGAUGCUGGACUCAUUGAAUUUUUUUCAUUGUUUUCAGAGAACCUUGACAACUGCAUAGAUUAUUUUUAAAGACAAUAAGCAUCUUUAAUGAUGCAGAUUUAUUAUUUGUGCGAAUGCAUUAAAUAACAAUUCUAUUAAGCUGAUGCUUCAAUUAUUGAAGUUAUUGGUCAAGCUACAAAGGGCUCACGGAGGAUACCUAGGCACACAGAGGCGAUGAA